CCUUGAAGUGACCGAGGACUUUAGAAUUCGGCCGGCGUCCUGGGACGGAGCUCGCGCUCCUGGGCUCGGCGGCCCUGGUGCUGGUGGCUGGGGGCGCCUUGGGUGCUGCUCGCAGCCGCAGGACCGCUCUUCUCCAGGCGACCUUCCCUCUCCCCAGGAUCCAUCUUUGACAGAUACCGCUUCUCACUGACAGCUCAAGACUGUCAAAGGCUGCUUGGCUGUGCCGUGCGUGCGUUAGGUGGCUGCGUAAAGACUCUGCAUGCAAAAA